UGUGGCAUUUAUUCUGUGCACAUGAACACGUUUUCAGAAUUGCUCUGUGUAACUCAGACGGUUACUCUUGUGUGUUUUGCUACUAGUUGUGCGAACGAGCCAGACAAACCAGCUGGGAGGACGGAAGCACCCCUUCUCCAUCCGCGUUCAGUAACUGAAUACGGAUUCACCCCGUAGUUGUGGUGUUUUCCAUAGCUGUUCCUUGCUCCUGUAUCACAACAUAUCAAGGCUGCCAAGUAAAUGAAGAAUGAAUCACCGCACACUGGUCAACAGCAGACAGGGUCCUUCCACAACCACAUACUUAUGCCAGUAAAAGCUACAGCUUUUCUCCUCCGAUCCAAGAAGCCUGGACUGCAGUCACCAUCUCAACACACCAACCAAGAGAAAGGUGGAUGGCUCAAUUCAAUAUGGAAAAUUGCACAAUAAAAGUUCCAGGACAUGAAGGCUGCAUACUGUGAACGUCAACCUUCAGGGCACCGUCCUGCGCAGAAGACUUUCUACCCUAAGAGGGAUGGCUGACCGCAGACACUCACAACCAGCACAGACGCCUCCAACCUCAGACUAGGCCCUUCACAGUUGCUGCACUUACCCACCUUCCCAGAGUUUUUGUGUGGUAAUGACAACUGUAAAUAUAGUAUAAAGUAAUGUAUCUA